rnacentral:rRNA from 1 species
ACGCUCAACACCUACGGGGGGCAGCAGUCGGGAAUAUUGCGCAAUGGAGGAAACUCUGACGCAGUGACGCCGCGUAUGGGAAGAAGGUUUUCGGAUUGUAAACCAUUUUAGACAAGGAAGAAACAAGACAGUACUUGUAGAAUAAGCUCCGGCUAACUACGUGCCCGCAGCCGCGGUAAUCUGAGCGGGCUGGCAAGGC